rnacentral:lncRNA from 1 species
GAAAAGGUUUGUGCUUGCAAUAAUCCUUGUGGUGUUUCCUUUAUUAUUGGUACUGAUAUUAAUGAUCCAGGGAGAACUUUAUUGCUAUUAUGUGUUCUUCUAUUUAUGAGGAGGAUACAUGGCCCUCAUUCUUUGAAGAUCGGACAAGUUCUUUGGUCUUCUUUUUAUUGCGUGUUUGCUAAUAUGGACCAAGUUAACAAUGACAGUGAACUCAAUGUUAAUUGCACAAACUCAAAGGUGUUAACAAAGGUGGGGCAUGCAUCCACCUGUGAUUUGUUUCCAAUUUCUUGUGCUCACUUUGAACCAUGGGAUCCAGGUCAACAAUUGGGUUUGUCUACAACAGGGAGGUCCUUUCACAUGAAGCAGUGGGAUCC